rnacentral:lncRNA from 1 species
CUUUUUUUUACUCAUUUGCACUGCUUUGAUAUUUUAUAUAUAAGUUAUUUUUUGUAGUAAUUUUGAAAUUUGUCUUUUAUUUUAAUAUUCUUGUCAUAAGUUGAAGUUAAAUUAAUCCGUGUCAAUUACAAAUCCUUUCAAGAUGAUAGAAGUUCUUUGGAGCAGUUGUAACGCAUUUACAGAAACUGUCUGUUUUGAACUAUAAAAAGGCCUUAACAAUAGAAUAAUAUCAAAGACUUGAUAAGAACACGUGUUACAUUCAUUCCUCACAAUAAAGCAGCACCAGUUCCUAGAAUUUCAUUCACCGAUUACACUUUGCUAUAUUCUAACUAAGUUAAUACUUGCUUUUCAAUUUUCUUUUAAGUAUGCGUGUUAAUAACACAAAAAGAACAUAGUGUUUGUUAAUAUAUGUGCAAUGCGGCAAUUAAUGUGUUUUCAGUAUUCUAAAAAUAUCUGAAAAUCAACCCUUUGUUUAACCUACAAGGGGAACACGUAAAUGGUUAUUAAGAUACAUGUAAUGAUUUUUUUUACCUUAUGCUAUACAUAUAACGAUAUUGUUGGUGCCAAAUGAGUUAUAAAGGAAACCCUUAAAGACUGGUUAUUGCAUGUCAUUAGCAAAUAUCAUGAACACAGAUUAAAUAUCUUUGAAAACAUUCAACUGUAUAUCAAUAAAAAAAUGAAGAAGAAUAAUAGAACAAUAUCUUAAUUUUGUUCUCAGAAAAUUCUGAUUUAAAUAAACAAAGGGUGUGUUUGUUAAAAAAGGGAGAA